rnacentral:rRNA from 1 species
CCUACGGGAGGCAGCAGUAGGGAAUCUUGCACAAUGGGGGAAACCCUGAUGCAGCGACGCCGCGUGAAGGAAGAAGGAUUUCGGUAUGUAAAAUUCUGUCAGCAGGGAAGAAAAUGACGGUAACUAACUAAGAAGCCCCGGAUAACUCCGUGCCAGCAGCCGAGGGCAUACGUAGGGGGCAAGCGUGAUGCGGUUUUACUGGGUGUAAAGGGAGCGUAGGCGGUUUAGCAAGUCAGAAGUGAAAGCCCGGGGCUCAACCGACGAAUUUCAUUUGAAACUGGUUUUCUUGAGUACAGGAGAGGCAGAUGGAAUUCCUUGUGUAGCGGUGAAAUGCGUAGAUAUAAGGAGGAACACCAGUGGCGAAGGCGGUCUGCUGGACAGCAACUGACGGUGAGGCGCGAAAGCGUGGGGAGCAAACAGGAUUAGAUACCCCAGUAGUC